rnacentral:rRNA from 1 species
GACGAACGCUGACGGCGUGCUUAACACAUGCAAGUCGAAGGGAGUGGCGAACGGGUGAUUAACACGUGAGUAACCUGCCCUUUUCUUUUGGAUAAGCCUGGGCACCUGGGUCUCAUACUGGAUGGAUUGGUAUGGGCUCGCGGCUUAUCCGCUUGUUGGUGGGGUGAUGGCUUACCAAGGCUUUGACGGGUAGUCGGCCGGAGAGGGUGGUCGGUCACAAUGGGACGGAGAUACGGCCCAGACGCCUAAGGGAGGCAGCAGUGGGGGAUAUUGCACAAUGGACGAAAGGCGGAUGCAGCGACGUCGUGUGGGGGAUGAAGGCCUUCGGGUUGUAAACUCCUUUCGCCCGCGGAAUGGUAGUGGGUAAAGAAGCGCCGGCUAACUACGUGCCAGCAGCCGCGGUAAUUC